CUGGGUCGAUGAGACAUGCGGAUUUAGGGUCGGGGGUCUGGGCUCGGGGAACGCGAGAGACUCCGAGGGCGUCUGCCGAUCCACACUCCUGUUUAUUAGUUCCGCCAACAAGGUGCUGAGCCGGGACCGACGUCAGGCCUGUCUCUCAGGGGGCUGUCAGGCAGGUAGUGACCGCAGAGCAGUGUAGACAGCGGCGAGUGCCCCCAGCAGCCUGCUCCGGUGGCAGAUACCUGGCACCUGGACUCAGAGAAGGCUUCCUGGCAGCGGUGACGCUCUCACAAGUGCGUCAUGUCCAGCAUAGACAUUGUCCCCUGAGCUCUAGACUCAAGUGUCCAGGUGGCCCCACUCUGCUCACAGACCUGCCUGAACAAAGUCCUGAUUCCCAGCCUGCCCGGGACAUCCUCCCACCUUUCAUGGAGUCGUUACGAAAGGCCGCACUUACACCAUUCUGGAUCCUUCCCUUUCCCUCCCUCCCACCUCAUCCAUCUUUGCAUCCGGUUCAUCAGUCCCUUGAAUGAAAAUCCCAAACCACCUGCUUUUCGUCUGUGUCACGUGGGUUGGCGCACUCCCCACCCUCCACACCGCACCUAGAAUGAGCAUACCCUAGGGGUCAACUCACUCCUAUGGCCGCUUACGCCCCACCCCCUGCCCAGCCCCCAGGCCAUUGCCUGAUCUGGUCCCUGCGCACCUAUCUGUCCCCCUUCCUCCCCUCUACACUCAGCCCCUCCCUCUCCUGGGGAUUUGUUGUUUCCUUCUGUUUCUCCUGCCUUCCUUUCCUUGAGCGGUUUCCAUAAUUCCAUCUCCUUUAUAUUAGUUUAUUUAGCUAUACUUAAAAACUUUUUUUUUUUGAAGUUUACUUAUUUAUUUUGAGAGACAGAUAGAGAGUGAGCAGGAAAGGGCAGGGAGAGAGAAAGAGAGAGAAUCCCAAGGAGGCUCCAUGCUGCCAGCGUGGAGCCUGACCCUGGGCUCGAACUCACAAACCGUGAGAUCAUGACCUGAGCCAAAACCGAGUCGGACGCUUAACUGACUGAGCCACGCAGGCGCUGCCCCACCCCCGCCAAAAAUUUUUUGAGUGGUUGCUUUAGGGGUUAUAGUACACAUACACUAUUCCAUCCAAUAAUAUUCUACCACUUCUGCACGAGAACCUGACAACAGGACGGUUGUAUGUCCCCUCCCAGCCUCUAUAUUCUCGUUAUCACAUUCUUGGAUUCUGCUUGUGUCAAAGCCUGCAAGACAUUGCCAUUCUUGUCGUUGCUGUCAUUAUGACGGCUGUGUCGAGAAAUAAUCCACAUACCAUACCAUUGGUCCAUUCAGAGUGUAUAACCCAAUGGUUUCUGGUACAUUCACAGAGCUGGGCAGCCAUCAGCACAUUCUGUAACAUUUUCAUCACCUCCUCCAAAAUCAUCCCCAUCAGCAGUCCCUCCCGUUUAUUCCUGACCCUCAAGCCCCAGGCAACUCCUAGUCUCCCUUCUGUGUCUCUAGAUUUGCCCUUUGCAGAAGUUUCAUAUACAUAAGAUCUCACAGUGUGUGGCUUUUUGUGACUGGCUUCUUUCCGUUGGCAUCAUGGUUUCAUGUUUUAGCGUGUUUCGCUGUUUUAUUCCUUUUUAUUGCAAAAUGGUAUUUAAAAAAAAAACAACUGUAAUGUUUAUUUUAGAGAGAGAGAGAGAGAGCGCACACAUGAGCAGGGAGGGGCAGAGAGAGAGGGAGACACAGAAUCCGGAGCAGGCUCCAGGCUCCGAGCUGUCAGCACAGAGCCCGACGCGGGGCUCAGACUCACGAGCUGUGAGAUCGUGACCUGCGCUGAGGUCAGAGGCUUAAGCGACAGAGCCACCCAGGCGCCCCGCAAAAUGGCAUUUCGUUGCGUGGGUAUGCCACAUUUCAUUUAUCCAUUCAGCAAUCACAAGAUGUUUCAUUUCCCCCCGCCCACAUGUUGGCUAUUAACGAAUGAUGCUUCCGUGAAUAUCCACGUACAGGUUUUUUUGAGCGGUCGUAUCUUUUCAUUUCUCUUGGGUGUACAUCUAGGAGUAGAACGGUUGAGUGGCCAUCACUAUUAUUUUUUACUUUAACCAGUCAGUCCUUUUUUGUGAAACUUUGUGUUUUGUGAUAGCUGGAGAUUCCCCCCAGGCAGGUUGGGAGAAAUGAUACACAGAGGGGCGCCUGCCUGGCUCAGCUGGUGGGGCGUGUGAUUCGUGAUCUCGGGGUUGUGAGUUCGCACCCCCCCGGUUGGAUGUAGAGGUUACUGAAAAAUAAAAUAUUAGGGGUGCCUGGGUGGCUCAGUUGGUUGGGCAUCCAACUCUUGAUAUCGGCUCUCUCAAAAGAGAUACACUUUUGAACAUAAAUAAAUAAAAUAAAAUCUUAAAAAAAAGAA